AAUUAGUGAUGGGGACAUUGACUUAUGAGGAGAUUAUAACAUUCCCAGGCUUUAUGGAAUAAUUCACCAUUUUGAUAUGUAAAGAAGUGGAUUUUGUCCCUUAAUUU